GAAAGCCGUAUCGAAAAACAAAAUGUAAUUGGUUAAUAUGGAUAAUUGCCAUCUAAAAGUGGUUUUUCUGGCAGUGGCUUUGUUACCUUUAAGAGGAGCUUCCUUAUCCUACAUCAAAUUAGAGGGAUUCAAAACAAUAAGGAAUAGUGCCCCAGUGUAUCAAUUAAUUUGCGCCUCGAACAAGGACUUUCUUGGAUGUACUGUAGAGUUUUUAUUGAAUGGAAUAACACAGGAAAAUAUAAGAUAUGCUAAUAAUACAUGCUAUAAAGGAAAUGGCGUGUGCAAUCCUUUUCAAUGUGCUUGUUUUGAUGGAUGUAAAAACUUAACCUGGUACUACACUCAACAUAAAGACAUAGAAAACCAAUUAUUUGAAUGUGAUGCAAGAAUUAAGGACAAUCAUGUUUUUUACCAGGUUAUUGCAUCUGGCAGUUUUAAAGGUGGGGAUUUUUUUAAUGGGGAAACGAUAAUUAAAAGAAUUAGUGGGAAUCCUUCACCUUCUCAGAAAGCACCAAUGUAUACAGAUUCGAUAGAUGGAACAUUCAGAAAAGAAGAAAACAUCUCCAAUUAUAAUCUUUGGUUGCUUAUCAUUAAUACAGUCUUCACUUGUUUGAUUUUAAUCAUCAUCUGCAUCGGACUUUGUAUGAGCCGUAAAUGGAUUUGGCGCAAAAUGCGCAAAAAAAAGAAAACGUUGUAUGUAGCAAAAAGGUAACAAGCAGUACAGUAGAAGUGAAAACGUUGUAUGUAGCAAAAAGGUAACAAGCAGUACAGUAGAAGUGGGGGUUAAGGCCUGGUUUUGGUUUGCAUUUAGCACGCUGAAAGUACGUCGGUAAUAUAUGUUGUCGGAGAUACAAAUGGUGUCAGUGGUACAAUGGUAUCAACUUGAUGUUUGCUGAUUUAGAUUGCAACGCCUGGAGUCGCUGAAAUUAUACAUAAGACAUAUGUAAAAGUUCGUUAAAAUACAUAUCAAAGGAAUCGAGCAAUCUUGCAGUACUAAACAGUACACUGAAGUUAUUAUUGCAGUAAAAAUGUAUUACCCAGUGUUCUUUUCAUCAAUUAGGAAUCAAUUAAAAAUGUGUAGAAAUAGUUAUACUCGUCCGUUUCAAAGGAAUUAAAAGAAAUUCAAGGGAACAACGCAAUGCUAUAUUCUACAGUGCGUGGAACGUUUAAUCUUACCGGGAAGUGUGCAGAGCAAAUGAUGGUGUGGAGACUGUGCAAUCGUUAAGUUAUUAUUUGUUAUUUUUUUUAGUUAUAUUUUUGUUUAUUCAUUUGCUUAUUUCAUUAAUGUUUAAUUUACUUUUUUUCUUUAUUAAAUUUAUAUUCAAAUUUAGUUUUGUAUAACA